UGAUGUGAAAGCUUUAAUUUCCCAUGUUUUUUUUUUCUUAAAAAUGGUGUAUGAUUUGCCAGACAGUUUUCAGUAUCUGCAAGAAAAAAGUAGGCACUGGCCGAAGUCAGAUCAUAUGAGUCUGUGUGUUAAAAGAUUUCAAGAGUUGUUGAAAUGCAGUUCAUGGAAUCUAAAGCAGAGAAAAACAUAUGGAGUAAACGAUACUUGUAAAAACAGAUUGACUUGGUCCAUAAAUUGGGAAGAAACAAAUUCUGAACUACACUAUUGUGAAUAUUCUUUUAUUUGCUCUCAGUAACAAGGAUUCUACCUUGUAAGCACUAAGUAACAAGGGGAGUCUUUGUCACUAAGGGGAAUUAAUAGCAAAAAGCAGUGAAUGCUGAAGGACAAUGUAAUGGUGAUGGUAUACAGAGAACAUUUGUUUACUACAAUGAAAUCAAUGCAAUUAGAAUUUUAAAACAGUUACGUCAAAUGCCAAGUUGUCUCUUUACAAGAUCUUACAAUCCAUGUUACUUAGAAGCAAGUAAAGAAUGAUGCAUUUGUCAUUAUGUUAUCAAUAACUGCAACAAAGUAAAGUUUAUGAAAGAUUGGCUCCA